GAGCCCUUCAAUGCGGAGCCACCUCGUUCAGCCAUGAUUUCUUCUUAUGUGACUCCUGUGGAUUUUUACUACAAGAGAAACCAUGGACCAAUCCCAAUAGUUGAUGACUUAGAAAGGUCAUAUGUUCUGUCGUAGUUCCAUAUAGUUCUCUACCUUCGUGAUGUUUGAAGUCUAUGAGUUUUAACUGACCAAAGACCUGCUUAGCUGAGCAGAUAUUGCAUUUCUAUAGCUGCUUUAGUUGAAAAUCACAAAGUGUUGUUCAUGAAAGAUAUCUGGUAAGUGAUAGAACAGGAGAUGUUUAUUUCAUUAUAUUAAUUUAUUAUUUCUUGCAAAAUUGUUUCAGUUAAAUACAUACAUUACAGCAUAAAUAAUAGGAACCUUCCAAAGUAUAACAUCAUUGGGACUCUACAGAUAUGCUUUUUCUACAUAUGCAUUGGGCCUAUGUUGUUAAUGCUCUCUGGCUGUAAACUUUCUACACAUUUUGUAACAAAGAGUAUGGUUAGAUUCUUGAUUUUGUUAGAAUUUAUAAAAUCAUGGAUCUUGGCUUGUUUUGAAUUUACUGUGUGCUGGUAACAGAAGGACUGCAAUGAGCAAAAUAAAAACAGUGACAGGAGUUGGCUGGGAUGUUGCUGCUAUAGGAAAUGGAGGAGAAUGGGGGUCCAUAUAAGGCAUCGAUUCCGUUAUGUCAGGCCACUAGCCCUGAAGCUGAUGUUUUACUGGCAUAUGAGAUGAAUGGAAAAAUAGCUAUCAGAGGAUAUGCUGUAUCGGGAAGUGGGCGUGGGAUUGAGAGAGUAGAUUUAUCCAUUGAUGGUGGCAAAACCUGGGUGGAAGCCUCCAGAUACCAAAAAACUGGCAUUCCGUAUAUUGCUGAUGAUACAAGUUGCGACAAAUGGGCAUGGGUAUUUUUUGAAGCCAUGGCUAAAAUACCAGAGAGUACCGAGAUAGUUGCUAAAGCGGUAUGUCACAUAACUGUUUUCUCACCAUAGUGUUUCCUGUAAUUUGAUAUUUGGAAAUGUGUAGUGUAUUGGUUACUAUCUAAUGAAUCCUAUGAACAAAGAUUUCAUCCUUUCCUACAUAUAUGUAUUGUUGCAAUCUUAAACCACCUAAGAGAGUUCGUUCUAAUCAGAUUUGUGAAUGGAUGAACAUCUAGUUGACCUGGUAUUUAGUCUCUACAUCCUCGCAUGCCCCACUUUUUACCAGUUUUUUUUUUUUUUUUGGCUUAGAAAAUAUAAUUUUGUUAUGGUCAUAAAACAUAUUUCCAAGCUAGUGGCAGCUGAAUACAUUCUAAUUAAUGUUCUGAUUUGUCAGUUAUUAUGUGGUAUAUGAACCUAUAAUUUAUAAAAGAGAGAUCAGAACCCAUUAAGUUAUAGGUUGUUUUGGAAGUUUGGACCUAAACCUAGGGGUAGAAGUUUUCCAUCUUGACUCGCUGAAGUACAUGCAGUUCAUCUCCUCAGCCAUGAAUCGUCCCCCACAACACACACACACACAAUUGAUUUGCAUUUCUCUGAUCAUGAUUUUGCUUUUGCUUUUGAUUAUGAAUUGUCCCCCACAACACACACACACACUUGAAUUCCUGUCAUGUGGAUACAGCCGCAAUUGUCCAACCCGAAAAUGUGGAACACAUUUGGAACUUAAGAGGUAUUCUGAACCAUUCAUGGCAUCGGGUAGUACAAGAAAAACAGUUUUUUAUCUCGCACUUUUUACCACGGUUUUAAAAUCAUGGCAAAGGACCCUUUCUACCACAGUUCAUGAGGAACUGUGAUAAAAAGCUAGCCCUUUCUACCACAGUACAUGAGGAACCGUGAUAAAAAGCUAGCCCUUUCUACCACGGUUCAUCACGGUUCAUGUUCAUGCGGAACCGUGGUAGAAAGCGAAUUUAUAUUGGCGGGUGUUAUUCCCACUGAUAUUUUCAAUGCUUGCCCUGUCCAAAAAAAUAAAAAAAUAUAUAUAUAUAUUCACCAAAUCAUCGUUUUUCCACACAAAGAAAUCCACCAGGACUGCCUCUGAUCCACAUCAAUUUCAAUUCUAAGUCGGCAAACUCUCCAAGCCAUAACCGCCACUGGGCAUCUACAGAGCAAAUGAUCCACAGUAGACAAAUCCACACACCCGCACAAAAAAAAACACACACUGUCGAUCGGAUCGAAGCCCUAACCUGUGAAAAUGUUUUUCCCUCUUUCCAUCAAGCCUCUUUCAGUUGGCCAUCGAAGCAAACCCUAACCCCUAAAGAAGAAACCCUAAGUCUGGAAUCCUCCAUUAGAGACACGAAGGUGUGUUCGGCAAUUUGCAGACGACCGCUUCUGUUAGCAAGCCUUAAGCCCAGACAACUUAGAGUUCAACUCAGAGUCUCGAAUCCUCCAUUGGAGCAGAAUAGAAGUGGUAGAAAUCACUGUGUUCUAAUGCAUUAUCAUUCUUCGCAGGCUGAUUCCCCUCGCAAAAGCAGCCCGAGUUUGGUGUUUAUGAACUACAAAGAGGAGGAAGAAAAGAAGAUAAAAAUGAAUGCACAACCAUGAGCUUAUUCAUUCAUUUUCUUCGGUCAUUAGAGAGACAUUACAGUUCCUUUCAGCUUGAACUCAGUUUAUAUCUCAAGCUUACUUGACAUACGUGAGAUAUAUGUGGCAGUUUCUCUGCAGUCCGGGCAUACAUGGUUUUGUCCAGGUCAAAGAUAAGGUUGUGGGAUUGCGGUUGCUGUUACUUUUUUUUGUAUGGCUCAUGAAGAAGUUGCAUAUAUGGAAAGAGAGAGACUAAAAUAGAGCAAAAAGAUAUGAAAUUUUUUUGUUUUAUUUUAGUUAAGUAAAGAUAUAAGGUGUGGAUCAUGCAUGUACUUCUUCGAAAUUUGUAUAUGGUUAAUUUUUGUAUAAAACCAUGAUUUGGAAUUGGUUAUAUAUAUAUAUAUGAUGUUAUUCGCCAGUUGUAAA